GGCUUAUCCAGGUGGAGGGGUUGUGCACCCUGGCAUUUGCUCCAACAGGGAAAUGCGAUGAGCAGCUAUAUCCCGCUGGGCUAAAUCAGAAGGGGCUCACACUCAUCUUUCCAUUUGGAGAAUGCUGGCCACAGCAGCUCUGGACCCUUCAUCUUUUUAGGGGUGAGCCAGCAUGAGAAGAUAUUUGAAGAACUUGAGAGAAAGCUGAAACAAGUCCUAGAAGCUGCUGGAAUAGGAACAGAGCCCAACGUACUCACUUUACAGAGGGAAAUAGGGCUACCUGGGAGCAGGCUGCUGAGCCCACUGGUUUGCCUAGGGCUGUACUGUUUUGGGGCUGAAGAGCUCUGCAUCCAGAAAACCUUUGGACCUGGGCAAAAUGACACAGUUACCCCCCGGGACCAAAAUAAAGGGUAGAAAGACCCUGGUGACACUGCAGACUGAGUU
rnacentral:lncRNA from 1 species